rnacentral:rRNA from 1 species
GGGGAAUAUUGCACAAUGGGGGGAACCCUGAUGCAGCGACGCCGCGUGAGUGAGGAAGUAUUUCGGUAUGUAAAGCUCUAUCAGCAGGGAAGAAAAUGACGGUACCUGACUAAGAAGCCCCGGCUAACUACGUGCCAGCAGCCGCGGUAAUACGUAGGGGGCAAGCGUUAUCCGGAUUUACUGGGUGUAAAGGGAGCGUAGGUGGUGUGUUAAGUCAGAUGUGAAAGCCCGGGGCUCAACUCCGGGAUUGCAUUUGAAACUAGCAUACUAGAGUGCAGGAGAGGUAAGUGGAAUUCCUAGUGUAGCGGUGAAAUGCGUAGAUAUUAGGAGGAACACCAGUGGCGAAGGCGGCUUACUGGACUGUAACUGACACUGAGGCUCGAAAGCGUGGGGAGCAAAC